rnacentral:misc_RNA from 1 species
UCUGAAUUCACUGAAGUGGAUAAGAUGGAAUUUCAAUCCGCUAAAACACCUUUUACAAUUACUUCUAUGAAUGGAAACCCUAUGAAUUCACUGAAGAUCAUCAUUAAAUAUCUAAUACAUGCAUAAAUUUGCCUCUGGAUUAAUUAGAAUAAAUUCAUCGCACUUCUAAUAUUUUAUUGUAAUUUUGUACACAUAUUUGAGGGGGCAUUCAUAGUGUUUGGAGCUAUGUUCGUGAAGGAACAUGCUGAACAGUUGAUGAUGGAAGGUGAGUUAAAACCUGGUGGUGGCCAUUACAGCAACUCUACCACCUUGAUCUGCUACUACGACGAGAUGGUAUUUUUUGGGGGACUUCAAAAUCAGGCUACUUCUCCAUUAAAUCUGCCAUGUGAUUUUGUCGUAUGGGUGAGAGUUGAAUGAUGCACAUACAAUGUGGAAAUUAAUUUGGCAUUGGCAGUCAAGGCCUCCAAAGGAUCUGAGCCGGUCUCUGGAUUACUGUUCGUGAUUGGCUGCUAACAAAUUGUCAACGAGUGUGAUGUCAAAUUACGGUGUACAGUUAUUGCGAGCCAUGCAAGGGCCAUGAAGAGAAGGCAUUGCUUGUUUUGCUGGACUGCCACUUGCUCGACACGUUUGGCAAGGAUUGAUUUCCUCUUCCAUUAAUUUAGAACAAUGGUUUUUAUCGAAUUAUGCCCGUGUGUGAUAAUUUCAAUGGGGUAGCUCUGAUUACAAAGAAUCAGAAUUCAACUAAUAAAGAAUCAGAAUUCAACUAAUAAUCUUGUUUGCUUGUGGGUUUUGUUCAAUAUUUACCUUUGUUUUGUUGGAUUCGAAGAUUCCAGUUAAUUAUAUUUAUCUUGAAGUGAAUUUUGCUUACAAAUUUUGCGAGCUCUUUUUAUUUUUCUAUGGAUAUCCAUUUCUUCGACACUUUUCCUCGCGACCCUUUUCGUGGCUCCUCGUUGGAGCAUUUGCUCCUCUCUGUAACCAAAAUAAAUACCCAUUUCCAAAUCGCUGAGCUGAAGGCCUUCUCCUAUAUUAAUCUUUCCCUCCCUCCUUUUGCGCUUCUUCUCUCUCUGUAAUCAUUGGCUAAUCAAUGGCCGCAUCUCAAGCCAGUCUCCUCCUCCAGAAGCAGCUCAAAGGUCAACCUCCUACCCCCAAACCAAACCAAACCAAACCAACCAAAAUUCGCUUUUUUUCUCUUUCUUUUUCAAAUUGGGUUUUUCUUUCUUUGUAAAAAGUUUUAAUUUUUAGCUAUUGUUAUGCAGAUCUCUGUAAGAAACCAGUUGAUGGAUUCUCCGCGGGUUUGGUCGAUGAGAAUAAUGUAUUUGAAUGGAGUGUUUCA